AUGACCAGGAAGGAGAGCAGAUAUCUGGCUCCUGAUGCAGGGAGAGAAGCCUGCUGAGUGGGAAUGGGACUGGAACUGCUGGCAGACAGAGCUUCCUGGAAGGAAAGUGGGACUCCCUUAGGAAACCCAAGGCAGUGGUAAAGGAAAGCUGGGGGAAUUUAUUUGCUCGGAUGGGACACCUUUUCUGGAUGAAGAGAACUAAGAUGAAAGGCAGAGCAACUGAGAACUCUUCUUCUUUUCACCACAAAAAUAAAUGAGGAACAAAGAGGAUUAACAGGGAAUAUUUUUUUGUGGGAAAUUCCAAAGAAGGGAGUUUCCUUCCAAAAAUACAAGCCAAUAUUUUUCUAAAGUGACUAGUGAUUUUGAGUGCCUCAGUUGUUGGGUGCCUUAGAUGGACACCUGGCUUCAAUAAGGUGCGUACUGCCUUACUUCAUGAUGCUGACUUCUUGGAUCGUGGAUGGCAGCACAAUGGGGAGAACGGCUGCCACGGGGAUGCUAUGCCUUCUCCCCACAAAAGGGGGGCAGGGCAGUUUUUACUGGCUCCACCCCUCCCCUCCCCACCCCCAGCUAGUAUAGCUACCCAGACCUGACGGGACGUGCAAGCAAGAAACAGAUACUGAAUCUCUGGGAAGCCAAACGUGACUCAGUCUGUCUGAGGCAGCAAGAGAAGGUGCUUCCCCCAGAGCUCAGGGCAUGGGCCAAAACCACGGCUGAGCCUGUAGAAAGAACACAGAGAAUAAUUUGGCUGAAUUUUUCUAAAGAGGGUUGUCACCCCUCGAAUGGCUCUCCCUUUGCCUUGUGGAAUUUCCUGUUCUCCCAACACCCAGCUGCCCACUUCUGUGGCAUGUUGGGGCAGGGGUGGGGGCAGUUACAGAGACUAACCUCGAGACUAGGGGGUUCUCAAACUGGGGGUCGUGACCCCUCAGGGGAUUGCAAGGUUAUUACAUGGGGGGUCAGAAGCUGUCAGCUUCCACCCCCAAAUCACGCUUUGCCUCCAGCAUUUAUAAGUGUUAAACAUAAUGGGAGGGCUGGGGCGGGUUCGCACUCAGGUUUUCUGUGUGAACGGUGUCGCCAACGCAAAAGUUUGAGAACCGCUGCUCUAGACUGCUGGACAAGCUGAGACCUGGCAGUGUCAAGUUCAACUCUCUGAAUGUUACAGUUAAACACACGUGCCAGCUAAAAGCAUUCAUUUGGCAGCGGACCUGGAAAAAAGCCACUAUUGUAAGGGUUAAUACCAGGACAUGGCUCCUGGACCCAUUGAAAACACUUCAUAAAGCCAGCAAAGCGAAUUAUACCCAGUCCUCGAAAGCCAGACCCCAAGCAAGCAGGCUAAACUCACAGCUCCACUAAUUCAAGUGGAAGGAAAGCAAAAUGCCUGCAGGUAUUGCCAUGCAGUGGGACAAUUCCUAUCCGUGUUUUCUAUUGUAGCUGUUUCCUGUGGUGGGUUUUUUUUUUUUCCCUCUUUUUUUCUGUUCUCCAGUGCUAGGUAAAUAAGAGUAACACACUCUUAUUCUUUCUGGGAGCUCAUGUUUCUCUACACUGCACUGAUGCUUGCUCUUAUUGUUACCAGCGAUGGUGGGAAAAUGACAGUGCCUUGCCCCGUAGGGAGCCCCAGCAGGCGUUGGGCAAGUAACACCUGACCAUUAAGAAAACUCCAGAAUGAGGAUUCCCUCUGUGCACUCCUCCCGCCAAGCUGCCAGGGCUCCAGGCUGAGCUGUGCUGGCUUCUCCGUGACAGAAGCUCUGAGCCACCUUGAUGAUGAUUCCUUGAUGACAAUUUCACAGGCUGUCAGUGACCGUUGUGCCUGAGUGGGCCUGCUGAAGGGUAAUGGGAUUUAAUUGCUCUUUGGAGGAGAGGAGACACUAAUUUUUUUUUUUUUGGCACUGUGAGAUGCAUUUUAAAAAGAGCUUUAUGAGGUGAGGCGGGAAGGGGGAAGGGGAGUGGAAAUGGAUAUUCAUUUCUACAGGGGGCUGAAGCAGCUUUGGAAAGCAAAUAGAAUCCCAAAGGUAUUUUUAAAGUCCUUUGUCGAUCAGGGAGCAGAUCCUCAGCCGGUGUGCUAUGUUGGAGCCAGUGGAGUUAGGCUGAUCUACUCCAGUUAGAAUCUAGCCCACCCCCCCCCAUCUGUAUUUUGUUUCUUUGGCAUUUCUGUUGCUUCGGUGUGUGACGAUCACCCCCAAUAGGAGGAGGCAAGGUUUGCAGCGCAAGGCUAAUUUGCUUGCUCAUCAGCUCUGGAAUUCCAACCUGCUUUUGGUCCUAAGUGACCUGCAUUUGAUCAUAUCGCUCCCGUCACUAGUGGAUGUCUGUCCAGAUGGCACAAUUGCCCCCACAAUUUAAUUUGGCACCAUCUGGCUUUCUCUGCUCAGUGUAUGAAAUAGCAGGGGGCAUUGGCAGGCCAGAGAAGAAGGGCAGAUCUGACAGAGUUACUGUGGGGCGAGCCUGUCCAAACUGUGCCUGGCACCAGCCACUGAUACCAGUCUCUCUCACGUUCAUGGGCAUUAAAAUUCACUCCCUCUCUGGGAAAUAAAAGGAAAACUUAGCCCCUUCCAUCCCCAGCAAGCGUUCUGAAAAUGGUGCAAGGUCACACGAACUUUUCCUCUUUGUUCUCCUUCCCUGCUCUCUUGACUGGCGAGAGGGGCCCUGGCAAAUCCUAUUUAUUCAUUUUUCAUUCUUAGCUGUGCAUUUGAAACUCUAACUAGUGCCAAGGGAAAUGAGCAGCAGCCUCCCACUGGCAGAACCCCCUCAAAGAGGCAAGGGACCAUCAGAGAUACUGAUUGCAGUGCGGGCUUGCACUAUCAAAGAACCAACAGUUUUGCUCCAUACCUGGAAGGACCAUAAAGCACACUGCAUUGGAAACAGCCUAAAUUAAAAACACCACUGAUGUUAUCUGUUGCAGAAAUAUUGAUCUUUGUUAAAAAUAGUCUUUACUGCUUGUUUCACACUGCUCCUGCAAUUUCUUAUUUAUUAAGAGCUCUCUUAAGGAAAGUCACCAUCCUGAGCUUAAACAUUCCUCCUUAAUACACCCUUUCUAAUAUGUAGCCUAAAUCUACUUUGUUUGUUUGCUUCUCCCGUGUGUUUUUUUUU